rnacentral:misc_RNA from 1 species
GUAUAGGUUUAUAGGUUUAUAGGCACAAAGGCCAUUGAUUACAUUCUAUGACAUACAUUGGGGUAUAUGAAGAACAUAGGCCUGGAAAUGUAAAGAGAGACAUAAAGUCAAUCCUCAAACCUGAGUUGACUAGCGCUCAGAGAGAUAUCCAGGUCUACAAAAGGUGCACAGGUGGAUAUAAAGAUGACAAGCGUGCACAUGCUCCCUAGAGAACCAGCAGCAGCUCAUCAGAUUUAUUUCAAUAAUGAUCCUUCCGCAGGUUCACCUACGGAAA